AGUCAGCCUGGCAAGUGGAGACAUGGCUCGUGCGGAUCCUCCUUGGCGUACAUGUGCGAGCGGCCGCUCGACGCCUGCCCGGAGGGACGGCUGUGUUCCUACAAAGACUACGGAUUGGGCUACCAUCGAGUGGAGACUUCCUACUGCGACACUGGCGACUUCCUGUACAAGGACUCUUGCUAUCACUUUGAGGGAAUGGCGCGC